rnacentral:antisense_RNA from 1 species
CUUGACCGACCCCAGCCACAGCGGCCGGUCCUCGGCGCGGUCCUGCCCGUACGUGGCGAGCAGCGCCUGGGCCUC